rnacentral:rRNA from 1 species
ACGCUGAUUUGUCGGUAGCAAUAUUGGCAAGUCGGAGUGGCGCAAGGGUGCGUAACACGUGGGCAAUCUGCCGUGAAGCCCGGAAUAACUCGCUGAAAGGCGAGCUAAUGCCGGAUGUGAAAGUCGGGAGGCAUCUUUUGACUUUCAAAGCUGGGGACCGCAAGGCCUGGCACUUCACGAUGAGCCCGCGGCCUAUCAGCUAGUUGGUGAGGUAACGGCUCACCAAGGCUUAGACGGGUAGCUGGUCUGAGAGGACGACCAGCCACACUGGAACUGAGACACGGUCCAGACACCUACGGGUGGCAGCAGUCGAGAAUUUUUCUCAAUGGGCGAAAGCCUGAAGGAGCGACGCCGCGUGGGGGAUGAAUGGCUUCGGCCCGUAAACCCCUGUCAUUCGCGAACAAAUUAUUUUACCCAACACGUAAAGUAUUGAUAGUAGCGGAAGAGGAAGGGACGGCUAACUCUGUGCCAGCAGCCGCGGUAAUACAGAGGUCCCAAGCGUUGUUCGGAUUCACUGGGCGUAAAGGGUGCGUAGGCGGUCGGGUAAGUCUGAUGUGAAAUCCCGCAGCUCAACUGCGGAACGGCAUUGGAUACUAUCCGGCUCGAGGAGUGGAGGGGAGACUGGAAUUCUCGGUGUAGCAGUGAAAUGCGUAGAUAUCGAGAGGAACACCUGUGGCGAAGGCGAGUCUCUGGACACUUCCUGACGCUGAGGCACGAAAGCCAGGGGAGCAAACGG